rnacentral:lncRNA from 1 species
CUUCUUUCUUCUUCAUUAGAGGAAACUUUUCUGGCAAGCCUUCUCUCCUGGUUCAACUGAUUCUUAUCUUUUGUUGAAGCGUGUUUCUUGACAAUUUUGGGCUGAUUGUUCAGUGUACUGAUGGAAGAACAGCUAUACUGUCCGAGAUCUGCUUCAUGCACACUUCUACUUUUAUUUGUUCUUCCCAAAGGCACAGGUUUUGCAACCCUCUCUUCUAUUAUAGGAAGUGAAAGAUCAAUGAAAGGUUCUUUUACUGUUGAAAUAUUUUCACAUUCCUCACACAUGACAGUGCUAGUCAAUUCACCAACAAAGAUCCUAUCUAUGAAGUUCAUCUUCACACCCUCUCUUCCAUAUGCUUUGACUUUUCUUCUAGUUUCUUCAUCUGCUG